UACGGAAGGCAGCAGUGGGGAAUAUUGCACAAUGGGCGAAAGCCUGAUGCAGCUAUGCCGCGUGUAUGAAGAAGGCCUUAGGGUUGUAAAGUACUUUCAUCGGGGAGGAAAAAACAAAACUAAUAAUUUUAUUUCUUGACGUUACCCGAAAAAGAAGCACCGGCUAACUCCGUGCCAGCAGCCGCGGUAAUACGGAGGGUGCUAGCGUUAAUCAGAAUUACUGGGCGUAAAGAGCACGUAGGUGGUUUUUUUAAGCCAGAUGUGAAAUCCCUGGGCUUAACCUAGGAACUGCAUUUUGAAACUGAAAUACUAGAGUAUCGUAGAGGGAGGUAGAAUUCUAGGUGUAGCGGUGAAAUGCGUAGAUAUCUGGAGGAAUACCUGUGGCGAAAGCGGCCUCCUAAACGAAUACUGACACUGAGGUGCGAAAGCGUGGGGAGCAAACAGGGAUUAGAUACC
rnacentral:rRNA from 1 species